rnacentral:tRNA from 1 species
UCCUCGGUAGCUCAAUGGUAGAGCAUCCGACUGUUAAUCGGCAGGUUGCUGGUUCGAGUCCAGCCCGAGGAGCCA